rnacentral:rRNA from 1 species
AUGGUUAUGUUGUAUGUUCAUAUUCAUAUGUUGGCUCGGAGAUCCCUUUUGUGGCUUCUACUUUAUCAUGAAGAUUGUCGACAAGGAUUGAGAAGACAUAAUUGCUUACUAAUUAGAUUUCCACAGAUGGUUAUGUUGUAUGUUCAUAUUCAUAUGUUGGCUCGCAGAUCCCUUUUCUGGCUUCUACUUUAUCAUGAAGAUUGUCGACAAGGAUUGAUAAGAGAUAAUUGCUUACUAAUUGCUCGUGUGUUUUUCAUCUCAGUGCUUCUCGGUGCCCUUCAUAAAGAACUUUCUCCCCGGAUUGUCUAUCAAAUCUCCAGUUGGAAAUAUCAGUCUACAGGCCCGUCUGAUAAAAUUAACCUUUAA